CCGCUGUGAAGGUGCUGCAUGGUUGUCGUCAGCUCGUGCCGUGAGGUGUCGGCUUAAGUGCCAUAACGAGCGCAACCCUUAUCUUCAGUUACUAACAGGUUAUGCUGAGGACUCUGGAGAGACUGCCGUCGUAAGAUGUGAGGAAGGUGGGGAUGACGUCAAAUCAGCACGGCCCUUACGUCCGGGGCUACACACGUGUUA
rnacentral:rRNA from 1 species